ensembl:misc_RNA Metazoa_SRP Metazoan signal recognition particle RNA
GCUGGGUGUGGUGGUGCACGCCUGUAAUCCUAGUUACUAGGGAGGCUGAGACAGGAGAAUUGCUUGAACCCAGGAGAUGGAAGUUGCAGUGAACUGAGAUUGUGCCACUACACUCCACCCUGGGUGACAGAGCAAGACUCUGUCUCAA